UCUUUCGUAGUAUAGUGGUCAGUAUGCAAGCUUGUCACGUUCUAAACAUAGAACAGCACUCGCUUGAGACCCGGGUUCAAUUCCCGGCGAGAGAG
rnacentral:tRNA from 1 species